rnacentral:rRNA from 1 species
UACGGAGGGGGCUAGCGUUGUUCGGAAUUACUGGGCGUAAAGCGCACGUAGGCGGCUUUGCAAGUUAGAGGUGAAAGCCCAGGGCUUAACCCUGGAAUUGCCUUUAAAACUGCAUCGCUAGAAUUGUGGAGAGGUAAGUGGAAUUCCGAGUGUAGAGGUGAAAUUCGUAGAUAUUCGGAAGAACACCAGUGGCGAAGGCGACUUACGUGACACAUAUUGACGCUGAGGUGCGAAAGCGUGGGGAGCAAACAGG